UGCCUGUUUACCAAAAACAUCACCUCUAGCAUUACCAAUAUUAGAGGCACUGCCUGCCCAGUGACACCUGUUUAAACGGCCGCGGUAUCCUAACCGUGCAAAGGUAGCAUAAUCACUUGUUCUCUAAAUAAGGACUUGUAUGAAUGGCCACACGAGGGUUUAACUGUCUCUUACUUUCAAUCAGUGAAAUUGACCUUCCCGU
rnacentral:rRNA from 1 species